ensembl:misc_RNA Metazoa_SRP Metazoan signal recognition particle RNA
GUUGGGUGCGGUGGCAUGUGCCUGUAGUCCCAGCUACUCGGGAGGCUGAGGUAGGAGGAUCGCUUGAGCCCAAGAGUUCUGGGCUGUAGUAUGCUAUGUCGAUCCGGUGUCCGCACUAAGUUCAUCAAUAUGGUGACCUCCCAGGAGCGGGGGACCACCAGGUUGCCUAAGAAGGGGUGAACCGGCCCAGGUCGGAAACAGAGCAGGUCAAAACUCCUGUACUGAUCAGUAGUGGGAUCGCGCCUGUGAAUAGCCACUGCACUCCAGCGCGGGCAACAUAGCGAGACCCCAUCUCUU